GGUCGCUUAGCUCAGUUGGUUAGAGCGUGGUGCUAAUACCCAUUUGUCUUUGGUAUGAUACGCCAAGGUCGCGAGUUCGACCCUCGUAGUGACCA